GCUAGGCCUUUAACAUUGAUAGUAAAAAUACGCUACUAUCCGCCAGAGAACUACAAGUGAAAAACUUUAAACUCAAAGGAUUUGGCGGUGUCCCAUACCUGCCUAGAGGAGCCUGUCCUAUAAUCGAUACUCCCCGUUCCACCCAACCUCAACUAGCACCUCCAGUCUAUAUACCGCCGUCGACAGUCUACCCCAUGAGGGCCCAACAGUAGACACAACAAUUUCCCACUAACACGUCAGGUCAAGGUGUAGCAUACGUUGAGGAAGAGAUUGGCUACAUUUUUUAUGAUAAAAAAUACGAAAUGCAAUAUGAAACCCCGCAUAAAGGUGAAUUUAGUAGUAAGAUAAACAAGAGUGUUUGUCUUAAUUAUGCUGUG
rnacentral:rRNA from 1 species